AUAUCUUGAGCCAGUUCUAGCCAUAGUUGAGUUAGAAACUGUUGAUGCAGCAGACGUAGGCGAACCAGAAGAAUCCUGAUCAAUGAAUUCGGGAUGAUCUGCAGAAGAUUGAAUUCUGCUGCUGGAUAAUGAUGAACUCCCAUGAAGGUCUUCUGAGCUCAUACGACCAGGACUAGGUAAAAAGGAUCCCGGUGGUCCUGGUAUGGGGAUUGGAUCAACCUCCAAAAAGUAA
rnacentral:misc_RNA from 1 species